ensembl:rRNA 5S_rRNA 5S ribosomal RNA
CACUCCCACUAUACCACCCUGAAUGCAGCCAAUCUGAUCUCAGAGGCUAAGCAAGGUUGGACCCAGUUAGUACUUGGAUGGGAGGGU